GUUCUCGUGGCAAGUGUUACACUGGCUAACGACGCAGAAGGAGAAAAGGCUUUGGGUGAUGUGCUUCACUCCACAGUUGUUGGCAGGCACCAGAGAAUUCUCGGAUGUGGACACAUGCACUACCACCAUGGCCACCUGUGCAAGAAAGACGGCUGCCCAAAUAAGCACCUCGGAAAAUGCGUAAAAGGAGAAUGUGUGUGUCUGGAUGCGAUUACCACUACGACAGGAAAACCAACGACGAAGAAAAUGGAGAGUCGUGGACUGCGUGGAGAAUAAAAUACUACCACGCUUCCUUAAAAAAGAGAAACCUACGAGCAAACGAAAUGCCUGCAGGUGUCCAAAGCCGUGAGCUGAGCACUGACAUGGCAGUGGUCGCGAGGUUGAAAACUCAAUUAAGUCAUACGGG